rnacentral:rRNA from 1 species
CCUUACCAGCCCUUGACAUCCCGGUCGCGGACUCCAGAGACGGAGUUCUUCAGUUUCGGCUGGACCGGAGACAGGUGCUGCAUGGCUGUCGUCAGCUCGUGUCGUGAGAUGUUGGGUUAAGUCCCGCAACGAGCGCAACCCCCGUCCUUAGUUGCUACCAUUUAGUUGAGCACUCUAAGGAGACUGCCGGUGAUAAGCCGCGAGGAAGGUGGGGAUGACGUCAAGUCCUCAUGGCCCUUACGGGCUGGGCUACACACGUGCUACAAUGGCGGUGACAAUGGGAUGCUAAGGGGCGACCCUUCGCAAAUCUCAAAAAGCCGUCUCAGUUCGGAUUGGGCUCUGCAACUCGAGCCCAUGAAGUUGGAAUCGCUAGUAAUCGUGGAUCAGCACGCCACGGUGAAUACGUUCCCGGGCCUUGUACACACCGCCCGUCACACCAUGGGAGUUGGUUUUACCUGAAGACGGUGCGCUAACCGAAAGGGGGCAGCCGGCCACGGUAGGGUCAGCGACUGGGGUGAAGUCGUAACAAGGUAAGCGUAGUGCU